rnacentral:tRNA from 1 species
GGCCCUAUCGUCUAAUGGUUUAGGACGCCGCCCUCUCACGGCGGAAAUCGGGGUUCGAAUCCCCGUAGGGUCACCA